rnacentral:rRNA from 1 species
CGAGUGAAGCGGCAAUAGCUCAAAUUUGAAAGCUGGCCCCUUCGGGGUCCGCGUUGUAAUUUGUAGAGGAUGGUUCGGCGAGGGCUCCCGUCUAAGUCCCUUGGAACAGGGCGUCAUAGAGGGUGAGAAUCCCGUAUGUGAUGGGCUGCCUUAGCCAUGUGAACCUCCUUCGACGAGUCGAGUUGUUUGGGAAUGCAGCUCUAAAUGGGAGGUAAAUUUCUUCUAAAGCUAAAUACCGGCCAGAGACCGAUAGCGCACAAGUAGAGUGAUCGAAAGAUGAAAAGCACUUUGGAAAGAGAGUUAAAAAGUACGUGAAAUUGUUGAAAGGGAAGCGCUUGCAGCCAGACUUGUCCGCAGUUGCUCAGCCUGUCUCCUGACAGGCGCACUCUUCUGCGGCCAGGCCAGCAUCAGUUCGGGCGGUCGGAUAAAGACCCGGGGAAUGUAGCUCCUCUCGGGGAGUGUUAUAGCCCUGGGUGCAAUGCGGCCAGCCUGGACUGAGGAUCUCGCUUCGGCUAGGAUGCUGGCGUAAUGGCUGUAAGCGGCCCGUCUUGAAACACGGACC